AUAUAAGCAAAAAACUACAUUUUAGGUUCAUUUAUUUAAUGAUGCACAUGAUCUUUAUUAUAGAUUACAUACAUCAUUAAAUGAAUGAACCUAAAAUAUAGUUUUUUGCUUAUAU
rfam:Medicago truncatula strain A17 chromosome 1, whole genome shotgun sequence.